GGGCGGUUGAUGCGUCCCGCGCGGUACGAUCUGGUGGACAUAUGGGGCAUUCUGCGGGCCGAUUAGGCCCGAUGGCGGAGC
rnacentral:sRNA from 12 species